rnacentral:rRNA from 1 species
AGCGAACGCUGGCGGCAGGCCUAACACAUGCAAGUCGAACGAACCUUUCGGGGUUAGUGGCGGACGGGUGAGUAACACGUGGGAACGUGCCUUUAGGUUCGGAAUAACUCAGGGAAACUUGUGCUAAUACCGAAUGUGCCCUUCGGGGAAAGAUUAAUCGCCUUUAGAGCGGCCCGCGUCUGAUUAGCUAGUUGGUUGAGGUAAUGGCUCACCAAGGCGACGAUCAGUAGCUGGUCUGAGAGGAUGAUCAGCCACAUUGGGACUGAGACACGGCCCAAACUCCUACGGGAGGCAGCAGUGGGGAAUCUUGCGCAAUGGGCGAAAGCCUGACGCAGCCAUGCCGCGUGAAUGAUGAAGGUCUUAGGAUUGUAAAAUUCUUUCACCGGGGACGAUAAUGACGGUACCCGGAGAAGAAGCCCCGGCUAACUUCGUG